UUGACGGGGCCGCACAAGCGGUGGAGCAUGUGGUUAAUUCGACGCAACGCGAAGAACCUUACCAGGGCUUGACAUCCCCUGACCGCGUAUGAAAGUACGUUUUCACCCUCGGGUGACAGGGAGACAGGUGGUGCAUGGUUGUCGUCAGCUCGUGUCGUGAGAUGUUGGGUUAAGUCCCGCAACGAGCGCAACCCCUACGUUUAGUUGCUAACAGGUGAAGCUGAGCACUCUAGACGAACUGCCGUUGACAAAACGGAGGAAGGUGGGAUGACGUCAAAUCAUCAUGCCCCUUAUGUUCUGGGCUACACACGUGCUACAAUGGCCGGUACAGACGGAGGCGAAGCCGCGAGGCGGAGCAAAUCCGAAAAAGCCGGUCUCAGUUCGGAUUGCAGGCUGCAAUUCGCCUGCAUGAAGUCGGAAUCGCUAGUAAUCGCAGGUCAGCAUACUGCGGUGAAUACGUUCCCGGGCCUU
rnacentral:rRNA from 1 species